rnacentral:piRNA from 1 species
UGAGCUACCUGCAUCCUCACCGGCCA